rnacentral:rRNA from 1 species
GAUGCGAGCGUUAUCCGGAUUUAUUGGGUUUAAAGGGUGCGUAGGCGGAGAGCCAAGUCAGCGGUAAAAUCGUGGGGCCCAACCCCAUCCCGCCGUUGAAACUGGCUUCCUUGAGUGCACACAAGGAUGCCGGAAUUCAUGGUGUAGCGGUGAAAUGCUCAGAUAUCAUGAAGAACUCCGAUCGCGAAGGCAGGUGUCCGGGGUGCAACUGACGCUGAGGCUCGAAAGUGCGGGUAUC